rnacentral:rRNA from 1 species
UGAAGCGGCAAAAGCUCAAAUUUGAAAUCUGGUACCUUUGGUGCCCGAGUUGUAAUUUGGAGAGUACCACUUUGGGACUAUACUUUGCCUAUGUUCCUUGGAACAGGACGUCAUGGAGGGUGAGAAUCCCGUAUGGCGAGGGUGUUAGUUCUUUGUAAAGGGUGCUCGAAGAGUCGAGUUGUUUGGGAAUGCAGCUCUAAGUGGGUGGUAAAUUCCAUCUAAAGCUAAAUACAGGCGAGAGACCGAUAGCGAACAAGUACAGUGAUGGAAAGAUGAAAAGAACUUUGAAAAGAGAGUGAAAAAGUACGUGAAAUUGUUGAAAGGGAAGGGCAUUUGAUCAGACAUGGUGUUUUGCGCCCCUCGCCUCUCGUGGGUGGGGGACUCUCGCAGCUCACUGGGCCAGCAUCAGUUUUUGCGGCAGGACAAAACCUUGGGAAUGUGGCUGCGCACUUCGGUGUGUCGUGUUAUAGCCCUUGGGAAUACUGCCAGCGGGGACUGAGGACUGCGAUACUUGUUAUCUAGGAUGCUGGCAUAAUGGUUAUAUGCCGCCCGUCUUGA